rnacentral:rRNA from 1 species
UACGGGGGGGGCAAGCGUUGUUCGGAAUUACUGGGCGUAAAGGGCUCGUAGGCGGCCAACUAAGUCAGACGUGAAAUCCCUCGGCUCAACUGAGGAACUGCCUUUGAAACUGUACGGCUUGAGGCCGGGAGGGGGUAGCGGAAUUCCCAGUGUAGCGGUGAAAUGCGUAGAUAUUGGGAGGAACACCAGUGGCGAAGGCGGCUACCUGGACCGGUUCUGACGCUGAGGCGCGAAAGCGUGGGUAGCAAACAGG